AUCAACGCUGGCGGCGUGCCUCAGACAUGCAAGUCGAACGAUUAAAGCUCUCUUCGGAGAGUGCAUAAAGUGGCGCACGGGUGAGUAACACGUAAGUAAUCUACCCUCGGGUGGGGAAUAACGUCGGGAAACCGACGCUAAUACCGCAUAAUGCAGCGGCACCGCAAGGUGACAGUUGUUAAAGGAGUAAUUCGCCUGGGGAGGAGCUUGCGGCAGAUUAGCUAGUUGGUAAGGUAAUGGCUUACCAAGGCUACGAUCUGUAACCGGUCUAAGAGGACGGUCGGUCACACUGACACUGAAUAACGGGUCAGACUCCUACGGGAGGCAGCAGUCGGGAAUUUUGGGCAAUGGGCGAAAGCCUGACCCAGCAACGCCGCGUGAAGGAUGAAGUAUUUCGGUAUGUAAACUUCGUAAGAAUAGGAAGAAUAAAUGACGGUACUAUUUGUAAGGUCCGGCUAACUACGU
rnacentral:rRNA from 1 species